UUCCGGUUGAUCCUGCCGGACCUGACUGCUAUCGGAUUGAUACUAAGCCAUGCGAGUCAUUGUAGCAAUACAAGGCAGACGGCUCAGUAACGCGUAGUCAACCUAACCUAUGGACGGGAAUAACCUCGGGAAACUGAGAAUAAUGCCCGAUAGAACACUAUACCUGGAAUGGUUUGUGUUCCAAAUGAUUUAUCGCCGUAGGAUGGGACUGCGGCCUAUCAGUUUGUUGGUGAGGUAAUGGCCCACCAAGACUAUUACAGGUACGGGCUCUGAGAGGAGUAGCCCGGAGAUGGGUACUGAGACACGGACCCAGGCCCUAUGGGGCGCAGCAGGCGAGAAAACUUUGCAAUGUGCGAAAGCACGACAAGGUUAAUCCGAGUGGUUUCUGCUAAAGGAACCUUUUGUCGGUCCUAGAAACACCGAUGAGUCAGGGGUGGU
rnacentral:rRNA from 1 species